UUUAUUGGUCUUUUUUUGUGCAUUUGAUUUCUCCAACAACAAACACUAUGACAAAUGAAAUCUAGAGGACUUGUAAAUAUUGAGAGAUUGUAUAGACUGCGUCUUUCCUUUCUUGUGUUAGUGAAAAUUACAACUGUUUACCAUCAUGGAGCCAGAUUGUUGAAUAUUCUAGCAUAAGAAUUUAUGAGAGACUAUAUAAAAUUCUGUUUUUUAUUUAUUAAUAAGGAAAAAAAAAUUAUCAAUUAGAAAAAGAUAGUAAGAUAUGUGGACUUUUAAUUUCUAUCAAUUCAUUGCUUGGGUACAAUAAUUCAUUCUAUUGUAAAGCACUAUAGUUGUUACAUAGUUCUCAUAUAUUUUUCUAAAGCACUUGGCCUACAAUAUACCACAGCUGGGAUAGUUGACGUACAAUUUAGCAUUUUGUGGUAGGUGUUUAUUCCAAUUUGAUUAUAUUUUGGGAAUUGUGUUGAUAAAUGUUGUGGGCAUACAUGAAUAGUCACCUGCAAAUUAUAAAAUGGAUACUCAUGUUGAGGGUGUGAAUAAUUUCCUUUGUCCUAAAGAUACAGAGGAUUGUUUUUUUUUUCUUUCAAAGGCAUCUCAAUGUUCAUGUAAUUCCAUUAUUGAUAUUUUCACUGUACUAUUUCAUUGAUUCACAUAUUAAAUUAUUGAUGUUAGCUUAUAUGAUUUAAUUUUUGUUCUUUUUAAAGAUAUGUUCCUUCAAGUACUAAACCAUUAAAAAGCCAUGUUGCUGUCUUUUACCUUACCAAAUAGAAGUUCUCCCUAUUUUAGGAGU
rnacentral:lncRNA from 1 species